AGCAGCCGCGGUAAUUCCAGCUCCAAUAGCGUAUAUUAAAGUUGUUGCAGUUAAAAAGCUCGUAGUUGAAUUUCGGGAUCAAUAUGUCGGUCGUGCCUUGGUACGUACUGGUAUCAUUGGUCUCUCCUUUCUGACGAACCAUGAUGUCAUUAAUUUGGUGUUAUGGGAAGUUAGGACUGUUACUUUGAAAAAUUGAGUGUUUAAAGCAGGCUUUAGCUUGAAUACAUUAGCAUGGAAUAAUGAAAUAGGACGUUCGAACCUAUUUUGUUGGUUUCUAGGAUCAACGUAAUGAUUAAUAGGGAUAGUUGGGGGCAUUAGUAUUCAAUUGUCAGAGGUGAAAUUCUUGGAUUUAUUGAAGACUAACUACUGCGAAAGCAUUUGCCAAGGAUGUUUUCAUUAAUCAAGAACGAAAGUUAGGGGAUCAAAGACGAUCAGAUACCGUCGUAGUCUUAACCAUAAACUAUGCCGACUAGGGAUCGGAUGAUGUUAAUUUUUAAUGUACUCAUUCGGCGCCUUACGG
rnacentral:misc_RNA from 1 species